rnacentral:lncRNA from 10 species
GCCGGGGCCUGGGAGCUGGGAGCCUACUCUGACUGCCACUGCUGCGGGUUACAAGGCCAGCUGGGUAGAGUUAUCAUGAGAUGCCUAUUGACUCCCCCGUGGUGCAGAAAAUGUGGCCACAAGGAUCCCAGCAUGGGUGCUGUUGAUGGAUGGCAGGGAAAAUCAGUGCCGUGUUUUAUGGAUUGCAGUUUUGACUCAACUUAAGCCUCAGAAGCCAACUCUGGAACCCAAGCCUUGAGCCCCAAAAGAUUCCCCCAAAAUCACAGUGACAAUCAUGGCUUUCACUGGAUGCUUGCUGCAUGGCACGCACUGCUACGCAACCUUUCAACAUGUGCGAUUCACUGGUAUUUAGUACAUGUGCAGUAUUGUGCAACCACUGCCUAGAUCCAGAACAUUUCCACCACCCCGAAAGGAAACCCUGGACUCACGAGCCAUCACUUCCCAUCCCUCCAACACCCCAGCCCCUAGAAACCACUCACUUAGUUUCCAUCUGUGUGAAUUUGCCUUUCCAUAUUAAUGGAAUCAUGUACUAUGUGGCCUUUCACAUGUUCACCCAUGCUGUAGUGCAUAUAUGGUAUGUAGCAUGUAGGUACACAUUUUAUUUCUGCAUCAGUUGAUGGCCAUUUCAGUUUCGGUUGCCUCCACUUUCUGGCUAUCAUGAAUAGUGC